GGUUAAGUUAAUAAGGGCGCACGGUGGAUGCCUUGGCACUAGAAGCCGAUGAAGGACGUGACUAACGACGAAAUGCUUUGGGGAGCUGUAAGUGAGCAAAGAUCCAGAGAUGUCCGAAUGGGGGAACCCGGCAGGUAAUGCCUGUCACUCAUUACUGUUAAGGUAAUGAAGAGGAAGACGCAGUGAACUGAAACAUCUAAGUAGCUGCAGGAAGAGAAAGCAAAAGCGAUUGCCUUAGUAGCGGCGAGCGAAAUGGCAAGAGGGCAAACCGAAGAGUUUACUCUUCGGGGUUGUAGGACUGCGAUGUGGACUUAAAGAUUAUAGAAGAACUACCUGGGAAGGUAGGCCACGUCGGAAUCUGGGAGGACCAUCUCCCAACCCUAAAUACUCUCUAGUGACCGAUAGUGAACCAGUACCGUGAGGGAAAGGUGAAAAGCACCCCGGGAGGGGAGUGAAAUAGAACCUGAAACUGUGUGCCUACAACAAGUUCGAGCCCGUUAAUGGGUGAGAGCGUGCCUUUUGUAGAAUGAACCGGCGAGUUACGAUAUGAUGCGAGGUUAAGUUGAAGAGACGGAGCCGCAGGGAAACCGAGUCUUAAUAGGGCACCAUAGUAUCAUGUCGUAGACCCGAAACCAUGUGACCUACCCAUGAGCAGGUUGAAGGUGAGGUAAAACUCACUGGAGGACCGAACCAGGGCACGUUGAAAAGUGCUUGGAUGACUUGUGGGUAGCGGAGAAAUUCCAAACGAACUUGGAGAUAGCUGGUUCUCUCCGAAAUAGCUUUAGGGCUAGCGUCGA
rnacentral:rRNA from 1 species